AUGCUGGCCGCGCCGUGGGCGAGCGCCCUGCAGCCCGGCGCGGCGUACUGGCGGCCGCCGGCGUAUGACGCUGGACCACCUGCUCCUGAGCGUGCAGUGGAAAAUCUCAACGAUCUCACACCGCGCAGCUGGGCCAGAUCGACGAGCUGCAACGCUCAAUGUUGUAACUUGCAGAUUCUGAACUUUGUGCAAGCACUGAAUUUUCUUCUGCUAUGCAGGGAGAGGACUAUAGACACUCCAGCACAAGUGUUAUUGUCUGUGCAAUGCGACAAGAAACACAAAGUGUUGUUUCACCAAAUGAAGAGAGACCAAAAUCAAGGCCACAUAAGAUUGCAGAUUAUGCGUGUGUCUGCGGAAGAUAACUUGAAUGUUCCAAACAGAAUUGCUCAUGUAGUUCCUGUUGAGUGUAACAUGUACUUCUCAGAAGUGCUCAUGUAG
rnacentral:rRNA from 1 species